UACGGGGGGAGCAAGCGUUGUUCGGAUUUACUGGGCGUAAAGGGCGCGUAGGCGGUUUGUACAGUCAGGUGUGAAAUUCCCGGGCUCAACCUGGGGGCUGCACUUGAUACGUAGGAACUGGAGUGGGGAAGAGGGUCGUGGAAUUCCCAGUGUAGAGGUGAAAUUCGUAGAUAUUGGGAAGAACACCGGUGGCGAAGGCGGCGACCUGGUCCUUGACUGACGCUGAGGCGCGAAAGCGUGGGGAGCGAACAGG
rnacentral:rRNA from 1 species